UCCACGCCUCUUUUCCUCUCUUCAUCUCUUUGUUCUGCCACCAUUGUCUUCCUUUUGACUCUAUUCCAAGACAGAGACGGCCUGAUCCGGUGGGCUUGUGGCGACAGAGGUGGCAGGGGAAGCCGACGGAGGGGAUGUAAGCAGAGAUACCAACCAUCAAAAUUCAGAGAGCAACAAUAUCAAUGAAGACCUGGACCAAACUUUUCAUGGCAAUGUUUCUAAAGUUCAGGCCUCUAACAUUGAUUUAACAAAACCAUAUGCAUCAGGUAGCAUGUUGCUUGAUGGUAUCAGAAAAAUGCUGCAAAAGAGUGAUGAAAGGAAACAGAGGAGGAAUGUUUUGAAGGAGCAAAGCAGAAAGAGGUCAAGGGCUCAGAUGGGUGUUUGCAUAAAGGAAGAGCAAGAAAAAGAACGCCUACUUUUCCUUUGUCUUUUUUUGGCAAGCUUGUUUGACAAGAAAAGUGCACAGACCUAAACUGGCACAAGGCCAACAUCUGUUCCCAAUCCUUUUAUUUACAACAAACAAAUUAUU